rnacentral:rRNA from 1 species
GACGAACGCUGGCGGCGUGCUUAACACAUGCAAGUCGAACGGAAAGGCCCUGCUUUUGUGGGGUGCUCGAGUGGCGAACGGGUGAGUAACACGUGAGUAACCUGCCCUUGACUUUGGGAUAACUUCAGGAAACUGGGGCUAAUACCGUAUAGGAGCUCCUGCUCCAUGGUGGGGGUUGGAAAGUUUCGGCGGUUGGGGAUGGACUCGCGGCUUAUCAGCUUGUUGGUUGGGUAGUGGCUUACCAAGGAAUUGACGGGUACCCGGCCUUAGAGGGUGGACGGCGACAUUGGGACUGAGAUACGGCGCAGACUGCUACGGGAGGCAGAAGUGGGGAAUAUUGAACAAUGGGCGGAAGCCUGAUGAAGCAACGCCGGGUGCGGGAUGACGGCCUUCGGGUUGUAAAACGCUUUCGCCUGUGACGAAGCGUGAGUGACGGUAAUGGGUAAAGAAGCACCGGCUAACUACGUG